CCUACGGGUGGCAGCAGUGAGGAAUAUUGGUCAAUGGGCGAGAGCCUGAACCAGCCAAGUCGCGUGAGGGAGUACUGCCCUAUGGGUUGUAAACCUCUUUUGUCGGGGAGCAAAAGCCGGACGUGUCCGGCUGUGAGAGUACCCGAAGAAAAAGCAUCGGCUAACUCCGUGCCAGCAGCCGCGGUAAUACGGAGGAUGCGAGCGUUAUCCGGAUUUAUUGGGUUUAAAGGGUGCGCAGGCGGAUUUUUAAGUCAGCGGUAAAAUCGUGGGGCUCAACCCCAUCCAGCCGUUGAAACUGGGGAUCUAGAGUGUGCGAGAGGUAUGCGGAAUGCGUGGUGUAGCGGUGAAAUGCAUAGAUAUCACGCAGAACACCGAUUGCGAAGGCAGCAUACCGGUGCACAACUGACGCUCAGGCACGAAAGCGUGGGUAUCGAACAGGAUUAGAUACCCCAGUAGUC
rnacentral:rRNA from 1 species